UGGGGAAUAUUGCACAAUGGGCGCAAGCCUGAUGCAGCCAUGCCGCGUGUGUGAAGAAGGCCUUCGGGUUGUAAAGCACUUUCAGCGGGGAGGAAGGCGUUAAGGUUAAUAACCUUGGCGAUUGACGUUACCGACAGAAGAAGCACCGGCUAACUCCGUGCCAGCAGCCGCGGUAAUACGGAGGGUGCAAGCGUUAAUCGGAAUUACUGGGCGUAAAGCGCACGCAGGCGGUUGAUUGAGUCAGAUGUGAAAUCCCCGGGCUUAACCCGGGAAUUGCAUCUGAUACUGGUCAGCUAGAGUAGUGGAGAGGGGGGUAGAAUUCCAGGGGUAGCGGUGAAAAGCGUAGAGAUGUGGAGGAAUAACGGUGGCGAAGGCGGCCCCCUGGACAAAGACGGACGCUCAGGUGCGAAGGGGUGGGGAGCAAACAGG
rnacentral:rRNA from 1 species